rnacentral:rRNA from 1 species
GUAGUUAGCCGGGGCUUCCUCCUUGGCUACCGUCACUUUCUUCGUCACCAAGGACAGAGGUUUACAACCCGAAAGCCUUCUUCCCUCACGCGGCGUUGCUGGGUCAGGCUUGCGCCCAUUGCCCAAUAUUCCCCACUGCUGCCUCCCGUAGGAGUCUGGACCGUGUCUCAGUUCCAGUGUGGCCGAUCAGCCUCUCAGCUCGGCUACCCAUCGCAGGCUUGGUGGGCUGUUAUCUCACCAACUACCUAAUGGGACGCGAACCCCUCCUUCAGCGGAUUGCUCCUUUGACCUCAUCCCGAUGCCGGGUCGUGGUCUUAUGCGGUAUUAGCACUUGUUUCCAGGUGUUAUCCCCCUCUGAAGGUCAGGUUGUUCACGCGUUACUCACCCGUUCGCCACUAAAAUUUAUCUUCCAUCCGAAAACUUCUGAUAAAUCUCCGUUCGACUUGCAUGUGUUAGGCACGCCGCCAGCGUUCGUCCUGAACCAAGAUCAAAUUCUGA